rnacentral:rRNA from 1 species
UAGAGUUUGAUCAUGGCUCAGAACGACCCUUUAAGGCGUGCCUAACACAUGCAAGUCGAACGCGAAAAGCCCUUAUGCUGAGUAGAGUGGCGCACGGGUGAGUAACACGUAAAUGACAUGUCCUCGAGACGGGAAUAACCAGCCGAAAGGCUGGCUAAUACCCGGUAAGCCCACGUCUUUGAAGAUGAGGGAAAAGGGUCGGGAAUUUUCGAAUCCGAUCGCUUGAGGAGUGGUUUGCGGCCCAUCAGGUAGUUGGCGAGGUAAAAGCUCACCAAGCCUAAGACGGGUAGCUGGUCUGAGAGGAUGAUCAGCCACACUGGAACUGAGACACGGUCCAGACUCCUACGGGAGGCAGCAGUGGGGAAUCUUGCGCAAUGGGAGCAAUCCUGACGCAGCAACGCCGCGUGGGUGAUGAAGGUCUUCGGAUCGUAAAGCCCUGU